rnacentral:rRNA from 1 species
GAUGAACGCUGGCGGCGUGCCUAAUACAUGCAAGUCGAGCGAACGGACGAGAAGCUUGCUUCUCUGAUGUUAGCGGCGGACGGGUGAGUAACACGUGGAUAACCUACCUAUAAGACUGGGAUAACUUCGGGAAACCGGAGCUAAUACCGGAUAAUAUUUUGAACCGCAUGGUUCAAUAGUGAAAGACGGUCUUGCUGUCACUUAUAGAUGGAUCCGCGCUGCAUUAGCUAGUUGGUAAGGUAACGGCUUACCAAGGCAACGAUGCAUAGCCGACCUGAGAGGGUGAUCGGCCACACUGGAACGGAGACACGGUCCAGACUCCUAGGGGAGGCAGCAGUAGGGAAUCUUCCGAAAGGGGCGAAAGCCUGACGGAGCAACGCCGCGGGAGUGAUGAAGGUCUUCGGAUCGUAAAACUUUGUUAUUAGGGAAGAACAUAUGUGUAAGUAACUGGGAACAUCUUGACGGUACCUAAUCAGAAAGCAACGGCUAACUACGU